rnacentral:rRNA from 1 species
UAGCGGCGGACGGGUGAGUAACACGUGGGUAACCUGCCUCAUAGAGGGGCAAUAGCCUCCCGAAAGGGAGAUUUAAUACCGCAUAACACUGCGGUUUCGCAUGAAACUGCAGUUAAAGGAGCAAUCCGCUAUGAGAUGGACCCGCGGCGCAUUAGCUAGUUGGUGAGGUAAAGGCUCACCAAGGCCACGAUGCGUAGCCGACCUGAGAGGGUGAUCGGCCACAUUGGAACUUGAGACACGGUCCAGACUCCUACGGAGGCAGCAGUGGGGAAUAUUGCACAAUGGCCGAAAGCCUGAUGCAGCACGCGGCGUGAAGGAUGAAUGCCUUCGGGUUGUAACUCUUGUCUUCUGGGACGAUAUGACGGUACCAGAGAGAAGCACGCUACUCGUGCAGCAGCGCGUAAUCGUAGUGCGAGCGUGCCGAUUACUGGCGUAGGAUGCGUAGCGAAUU